GACGAACGCUGGCGGCGUGCUUAACACAUGCAAGUCGAACGGAAAGGCCCUGCUUUUGUGGGGUGCUCGAGUGGCGAACGGGUGAGUAACACGUGAGUAACCUGCCCUUGACUUUGGGAUAACUUCAGGAAACUGGGGCUAAUACCGGAUAGGAGCUCCUGCUGCAUGGUGGGGGUUGGAAAGUUUCGGCGGUUGGGGAUGGACUGGCGGCUGAUCAGCUUGUUGGUGGGGUAGUGGCUUACCAAGGCUUUGACGGGUAGCCGGCCUGAGAGGGUGACCGGCCACAUUGGGACUGAGCUACGGCCCAGACUCCUACGGGAGGCAGCAGUGGGGAAUAUUGCACAAUGGGCGGAAGCCUGAUGCAGCAACGCCGCGUGCGGGAUGACGGCCUUCGGGUUGUAAACCGCUUUCGCCUGUGACGAAGCGUGAGUGACGGUAAUGGGUAAAGAAGCACCGGCUAACUACGUG
rnacentral:rRNA from 1 species